rnacentral:lncRNA from 1 species
GCAAUCUCGACAAAAGCCCACAUCCAAUCGACAUGGAGAGUGGUCCAUCUCCGGAGGACAGAGUGCGAUGUUGUUUUAAAUCAAUAAAGACUAUGGCUUCGAGACAGCAAAACAAAUGUUCAUCUUUGGGUGCAAUAUCUAAAGAUCCUCCCGUGUCAGGGCACUAAUUCCUCGAAACCUCUAGGUUCCCAAGGAGAAAUCUACAGGUCCAAUAGGACCAGCACAUGAAGCCCUUGAGAGCCUUAGAUUCCAGAGAAGAAUCAUCAGGGACUACGAGUUCCUACAUGAUGUACGUCGAUACCUCAGGGUAGUACGACAAAUAAUUGGCCUCCACGCCUCAACAAAGGGUCUCGUUCCUCCUGAAGAAGGAAUGAGAAAAAUCGCGGUCUUCACUCGACUACUACCUAGAACAGAACUUCUCCAUCCUAGAGUCAGGGUGUAUGUUCUUCAGAAGAUCAUUCUCCGGCUUAUAUCCAAUCAUGGGGCACAUAAGCAAGAAGUAAAUAAAUAAUUUGUUUUCUUGCCCCGGUCAUGUGUCAUUCCGAUCCAGGAAAUAUGUGGCUAUGUGCCACCGAGGUCCUGCGCCUGGAAGACAGAUCUCGCUUAUCACUGCAAUGCGAAUCCGAGAUCAAGAAUUCCUGCUCCAGAGCAGGGCAACAGAUCACCUACAGCAGAUUUCAGCAGAUACAAGUGAUCUUCACCAGCCAAACGUCCGAGUUUUGCCAUCCAUCGACAUGCAAGGCCAGGAUCCUGAACCAGGCACAAGCCUGGAAAUAUCCAUUAGACCCUUGUCUAUCUCGGGGAAAUCGACUCUCCUCCAGGUUCAAACA